ensembl:snoRNA SNORA70 Small nucleolar RNA SNORA70
UUAUAUUUUAAUAAUUUGUGCUCUUUCCUCAUGGGGGUCCAGUGUAUAAUGGCUGCAAAUAGUAGCCUCCUCAAUAGUAUAUGCAGCUGUUGAUUGAAUUUUCUUAAGGGACCUCAGAGAUAGCC